GCGUCGAGCGGCGGACGGGUGAGUAAUGCCUAGGAAAUUGCCCUGAUGUGGGGGAUAACCAUUGGAAACGAUGGCUAAUACCGCAUAACGCCUACGGGCCAAAGAGGGGGACCUUCGGGCCUCUCGCGUCAGGAUAUGCCUAGGUGGGAUUAGCUAGUUGGUGAGGUAAGGGCUCACCAAGGCGACGAUCCCUAGCUGGUCUGAGAGGAUGAUCAGCCACACUGGAACUGAGACACGGUCCAGACUCCUACGGGAGGCAGCAGUGGGGAAUAUUGCACAAUGGGCGCAAGCCUGAUGCAGCCAUGCCGCGUGUGUGAAGAAGGCCUUCGGGUUGUAAAGCACUUUCAGUCGUGAGGAAGGCAGUGUAGUUAAUAGCGGCAUUGUUUGACGUUAGCGACAGAAGAAGCACCGGCUAACUCCGUGCCAGCAGCCGCGGUAAUACGGAGGGUGCGAGCGUUAAUCGGAAUUACUGGGCGUAAAGCGCAUGCAGGUGGUUUGUUAAGUCAGAUGUGAAAGCCCGGGGCUCAACCUCGGAAUAGCAUUUGAAACUGGCAGACUAGAGUACUGUAGAGGGGGGUAGAAUUUCAGGUGUAGCGGUGAAAUGCGUAGAGAUCUGAAGGAAUACCGGUGGCGAAGGCGGCCCCCUGGACAGAUACUGACACUCAGAUGCGAAAGCGUGGGGAGCAAACAGGAUUAGAUACCCUGGUAGUCCACGCCGUAAACGAUGUCUACUUGGAGGUUGUGGCCUUGAGCCGUGGCUUUCGGAGCUAACGCGUUAAGUAGACCGCCUGGGGAGUACGGUCGCAAGAUUAAAACUCAAAUGAAUUGACGGGGGCCCGCACAAGCGGUGGAGCAUGUGGUUUAAUUCGAUGCAACGCGAAGAACCUUACCUACUCUUGACAUCCAGAGAACUUUUCAGAGAUGGAUUGGUGCCUUCGGGAACUCUGAGACAGGUGCUGCAUGGCUGUCGUCAGCUCGUGUUGUGAAAUGUUGGGUUAAGUCCCGCAACGAGCGCAACCCUUAUCCUUGUUUGCCAGCGAGUAAUGUCGGGAACUCCAGGGAGACUGCCGGUGAUAAACCGGAGGAAGGUGGGGACGACGUCAAGUCAUCAUGGCCCUUACGAGUAGGGCUACACACGUGCUACAAUGGCGCAUACAGAGGGCAGCCAACUUGCGAAAGUGAGCGAAUCCCAAAAAGUGCGUCGUAGUCCGGAUUGGAGUCUGCAACUCGACUCCAUGAAGUCGGAAUCGCUAGUAAUCGUGGAUCAGAAUGCCACGGUGAAUACGUUCCCGGGCCUUGGGCCUU
rnacentral:rRNA from 1 species